rnacentral:rRNA from 1 species
UACGUAGGGGGCGAGCGUUGUCCGGAUUCAUUGGGCGUAAAGAGCUCGUAGGCGGUUCGGUUAGUCAGAUGUGAAAACUCCGGGCUCAACUCGGAGAGGCCAUCUGAUACUGCCGUGACUGGAGUUCGGUAGAGGAGUGUGGAAUUCCCGGUGUAGCGGUGAAAUGCGCAGAUAUCGGGAGGAACACCAGCGGCGAAGGCGGCACUCUGGGCCGAUACUGACGCUGAGGAGCGAAAGCGUGGGAGCGAACAGG